CGCGUAGGCGGUUUUGUAAGUCGGAUGUGAAAUCCCCGGGCUUAACCUGGGAACUGCAUUCGAUACUGCAUAACUAGAGUAUGGUAGAGGGAAGUGGAAUUCCGGGUGUAGCGGUGAAAUGCGUAGAUAUCCGGAGGAACACCAGUGGCGAAGGCGACUUCCUGGGCCAAUACUGACGCUGAAGUGCGAAAGCGUGGGGAGCAAACA
rnacentral:rRNA from 1 species